UGGUUUGUAGUUUCAUUUUCUUUUACAUCAAAUGCUGAGUACCAUUUUACAAAAACGGGGAAAAAAAACAGCAACACAAAAGUCAUGUUAGAAAAUUUAAACAUUUUAAUAAAUAAAAACUGAUGUAAUAUACACCAUUAUGAAUAUACAACUACAACAAGCAUACCAAGACAUUUGAGAUACAAAAAAUUGACAGUUCAAUUUAGAUUCUUUAAAAGCUUCAAUUUUUAGGAAGAGUGGGGAGGUGAGCAGUGAUUACAAUAGUCAUACAUUCCUGUUAGUGUUUGUGCCAACAAAUAUCAAAAAGCAUCACGAGGACUGAUUUCUCAGAGAUGGGGAACAUAAAAAUGGAUGAAAUACACAUUUGGACUAAAGAUUUCCAUGAAAAGACAUUUUGAGGUACUGAGUUGUCUACUCCUGUAAUUAACAAUGAACACACUUAUGUUUGUGUUGUUUUCCAGAUGCACUGUAACUCAAAGCAUUCCUUUAUGUCACAGGAAGACUGAACAAUUAAGAGAAGACAAUGAGCACAGUUCUGUUUAAAAGAAAUAAAACAUUGUAUUGCAUUUUGUGAUGAGAAAGAAAGAAAGUUUUCAAAAGGUUUCACGUGAUAUUUGAACUUAGUACACAAUGAGCCAAAGGAGUAUGUGAGUAGGUUGAAAAAGCAUCUUUAGGAAACACUUUUUAGAUGCUUUUUCUGGUCUUCAAACAUAGCGAUGCUACAGGCUGCUCCUCUCAUGGGGAUUUUUGGGGUAAGUUGAAUUAUACCCCAUCGGUUUAACCUACCACCUAGCAUUAAAGAGCACCUGCUGGGAGUUAGCAUGAUUCUUUGAUCUUAAACAAUGCUUCUCCAGGGAUUUUAAAUGAUGUUGAUGACUAUUGAAAGUCACGGUGACCUUGUUUGUUUACUCAGCACCAAACACAAUGUGUGGAUACAAUUUGCAACCACAAAUACAGAAAACUUUAAACAACUCUAAAGUCUCCACACACACAAAAAAAAAAUCAGUUAAAAAAAAUCAUCAUGAUGUGUUUUUGAGUGAAUUACCCAUUAAAUUUCCUUGCUUUCAAAUUUGCCACUCCAAAUGUUACUCCAAUUGAAUCUGUGUAUUCCCUGAAACAACAGCAGUCAAAGAAAACCUCCUGGAACAUAUAAGAGAACCAGGACAAACGACUGGCCAGACAACAACCUACAUUGCAAUACAGUACAGGAUUGUGUAGCUACAUUUUGUCUGAAGCAAGGAAAUACCUAACUUUAAAAAAAAAAAGCACCACAGAUGUUUUUAAAUAGCACCAGUUGUCAGAAUGUAUAUGACAUGUUUCUUGUCCUUUUCUUUUUGGCAAUGUACAGCAGUGAACUGAAUGUCUGGAGUAACUUUUAGCAGCUGCUGCAAUGCUCGACCUCCACUUGAGUGCGAAAUCCAGGAGAAUGUUCAGUAAGUUGCACAUGCUUCAGUUUCCAACAAAAAUCAAACAUUUGGAGCCCCCCUUACAUCAGUUCCAAAACAGCAGCACAAAGCACUGCUUCUGUUACACAUAUACUGAAAUAUACACAUAUACACUGUCAAAUAUUAUCAGUCUGCACAGUUUGUGAAUUCCAUAAAUAUAACCUACAAUUAGAUCUCUGUGCUCUAAUGUGUGAAGAUUGCAAGAGAGCACCGUACCGAUUCUUUCAUGCCAAAGUAGAUUCAAAAAUGUUUAACUGCAGUAGCCAAAAAGGUCUAAAAAAAGGUCUAAUGAUGUUAACCUAACACAGAGCAAUACUCCUCUCCAUAAUGAAUACAUAAGCAGUGUGGGGUGUGGAAGGUGCAAAAACAAUUCAACAGGUACAUUUGCAAAUGUACAUUACUAUAAAAACUAGCUCGCUGCAACCUUCUCUGAGAUUCUCUGUGUAAUAGACAAUGAGAUAUACAGUACAGUGUGGUGCACCAUUCUCUUUUGUUUUGUAUACAAUUAAACAUACAUAAUUCUCUACUUUGUGUACAAUUCUGCAGCGCUACAAUAUAAAGCAGUAGAUGGAUAUAAAAAUAAUAGAAUAGAAUAUAGACUUGUACAUUCUUGAAAACAAGUACUGUCCCCAAAUAUAGAUAGUCGUGUCUUAUAUAUAUAUAUAUGUGUGUAUAUAUAUAUAUAUAAUCUGUCUCUAUAUUAUUUUAUUAUUAAACUAAUUUCUAGGAUUUAGAACAUUUCCAUCACUCACGUAUGUUAUGGACACUGUUACAUCAUGUUAUAAUGUGUCACUAAGCAUACCCUACUACAGUUCGCACCCAGCCAAUAUAGUCGAUGUGCAUUGUAGUUUCUUCUACACGCACACACACACAACAAGGAUGUAUGUGCAUAUAUAUAUAUAUAUAUAUAUAUAAUGUUGAGAGGGCGUGAGACAACGGAUGUUAAUUUCAGUUAUUAUUUACAUGGUAGUAACAAACUUUUUUCUUAAACUGUGAUCUGUUUUCUGCACUUUAGUUUGUAAUGUAGUUUCAUACAUUACUCCAGGCUGAAGUAAUACGUCUGCAUAUGUAUUACUUGCAGCUGUCUGCUGCUGGCUUUUAAGUAGCUUUUGUUUGCAUGUCUAUUAUUACUGUACAUCCUUUCUUCAAUCAAAGGAUGCCUUUUUUUCAACAACAAACUGUACUCAAAAGUGUUUAACAAAUAUGACUAUGUUAUUUAUUUAUGGGCUUGUAGUCCCCAUAAUGAAUGUUUAAAAAGACUUUGCAGAGACGUGAGCUGUUUUUUCAGGGUAGUGAUGUAUGAUGGAUUUCAUCACUGUAACAGUUUGCAGUUCACAGCUAUGAUGUUAAAGCAAUAUCAAAGCAACCUCUGUGAUAAUGACUGACAAUGACUGAUGCCAGUGUUUACAUAUAAACUGAAAAUUUGAGCUCAUAAAAAAUAAUGAAAAUGAGGAAAAAGAUGAGUCUGGUUGCAUUUAGCAACUAAAUCUAUUUUGUAAGUAAACAAACAUUUUUCCUUUAACAUGUGCAGCAUGUAUUAGCACCAGGUAUUCUUUCUCAUUUAGCACAUGGGGUAAAAUCCUCUUUAGCAUUUAAAAAUGUGAACAUCUUCAACAAUAUGAUGACUGGUCACUGAAAGAGGUGCUCCUCAGUUCAGGGACUGAGUGAUACAGUACUGAGAUUUUCCUCAAAAAGUGUCUUUGAAUGCGUGAUUUUAAAAAAUGUGAAAUUCCUGCUUCAGUACCAUCAACUGCAAAUCAUCAUAUUUGGCUCAAAAUGUAGAGCAGUAUAGUGAGCUGAGUAAUACAUGAUUUCACAAAGACACACUAAUCAAGCAUGGGUUUUGUGUGUGUGUGUGUGUGUGUGUGUGUGUGUGUGUGUGUGUGUGUGUGUGUGUGUGUGUGUGUGUGUGUGUGUGUGUGUCCAAAGUACAGUUUGUGAUCUACACAGAGAAAAGAAAAUGAUGUAAAUAAUAAAAAAAUAUAAAAUACAUGGAAUAUCUCUAAUAUAAGACAAAUUGAUAUUUUGAAUUUAUUUUGUUAAUCAAAUUUCAUCUCAUUUUUGAGAGAUGUUACUGCCACAUUCAGUGCAAAAAUACACUACCAAUCUUUCUUACAUUACAAAAUGUAAUAGCACAUUUGGUAAUGUCUUUUUUCAUUGCCAAACUAUGAGUAUUUUUCUCUUUAAAAUAUUUAUUUCUGCAUAUAUGUAUUCUGGAUGCAACAGUCAGGCAACUUUUGCACCUUAAAAUAACUGCUUCAGACUCUCAUAACUGUCCUGGGAAAGUCGCGUAAUGCUUUAUAACAUAAUGUAACACACUACCACCAAUGGGUCUUCACCUAGCUAGAGGACAAAACUACCUUUGUAUUCUCAAUAUGGAAACAAUGGCAGCAGCAAUGUGAAAGAACAUGACAUUUAUAGAAGGGAAAAGAGAGAGAGUAAGAGACUGAAAAAUAAUAAAUGUUGGAAAGUCUGAAAGGUUGCAGGCAGAUACUUAGCUCGCCUUCUUGCUGUUGGAUUGAUAAGUAAUAUUGGCUAAUCUCUGAUGUCUAGAGUUUUUACAAUUACUUUGUAAUAAUUGUAGAUUUAUCUAUGUUAGCAAAGCUGCGAACUAGCUAGUGUGUUUAAAGGCAGAGGGUUAACUGUUAACAUCUAGUUAACUAUGAUAAUAUUGGCUCUGACAUUGUGGUUGCAGGUUUUAAUCUUCCAGCUUGUCAUGGAGAAACGGUGUAUUACAACUGUAGGGAUGGCCAUGUGCAAAAAUACAGAUUUUUUAAAUAUAUACCUCCACAGAGCUAACAUGACUUAGUAACAUGUAGGUAACAUGGCCUAACACACACUUACAAAGACAUACCGAGGUAGUACAUCUACCUGUCCUAAUUAGCAGGACAUCUAGAAACAAUUCUGAAGUCUUAAAUCCUCUUGACUACUCAAACCCACAGCACAUGUUUUUGCCUGCUGCACUCUCUGAGUUGCAUUAUUCACCAAAGUAAGUAAACAGCUUUUUACAGUUAGUUUGAUUUUGAUUGUUCAGCUAAAGAUUUUAAUUGUGGCUUCUAUCUUAAAACCAAGACCACUGUUGCAAAUCCCAGUUUUUGUCAGCAUCACUCAAUCAUUUAUACCAUGCAGACUAUAUCUGCCAAUACACACUAUUUACAUGGACAAGUUAAGAGGCUAACAGUAAUUUUUUGUCAAGAUAGAUGACCUUUCCCUCGGUCAUUUUAAGAUUUCUCAGCUAUCCUCACUCACCUAAGUCUAAUUAAAACCUUUGGUGAUCAAACAAUGCAAAGUCACACAGUUGUACAACUACAGUUGCUAAGCUAAAGAGCUGUUCUUGUGACUUUAUCUACAUGUAUUUGAACAGGCAGCCUGUUGCACCUGUCACAGCUGAGUAUACAUGUCAGUAUAGUAUGUCAACCACACCAAUGACAGGUUGCUAAUCUGUCACAGGUCUAACACAGACAGAGAGAACCCAUGGAGACACCAUACAACCAACCUCUGCACAGAAAGGCCCCAGGGUGGAUUCAAACACAAGACUAGAUUCUUUGAGGUGACACUGCUAACUGCUGCACCACUAUGCCAUUCCCUACUGAUACCAGAUACAUUCAAAUAAGUCUGGAAAGAGUGUUAUUCAAGACAAAAACCAAAAAUGCACUCAACACAAAUGCGUGUUCUACAUGCAAUCAGUGGAUGAAAAGUGGGAUGUAAUUCUAAGUCUGAGACAACAGCGAUGUCAGAGCUGAGUCUGUAUUAAACCUGCCCAUGCUGAAUAAGUAGCUGUCAUUGUUCCAACACAAGUUCUGGGUGGAAAUCUGGUUGACUGGUAGGGGAUGAGAUGCAAAGUCAGUGAAAUAUGAGCUCGAUAUUCAUCAAGUUCUCAGGCCACUAUAGAAGUGAUACAGAGGACUGAGUAGACCCUGCUGUGUGUGCUUUGGGAGACUUGACUCUCAAACUGAAAAAUAUACACUGGCUAUAUCUACUUAAAGUGUAUUUCCAUAUGGACAUAAAUUGGGAAAACAUAUAAAUUGCUCUCAUUCAUGCAUGCAUAUCGACAAAUAUUACUAAAAUAUGCAAUUUCUGGUUUUACAUUUUACAAUAUAUAGACUAAUUAAUUUCAAUAUAGAAACCUCUGUAUACAUUAGCUCACUUAAAAUUCUUUUCAGAUGUGAAAUAAAUACAACAUAGAACAAUAUGUUGACUAUUUAGUUAAUUAGCAAAGUGAGCUUUCAGAUAUAUGUAUUUUAGAAAUAAUUCAUUAAGAGAUUUAAGUAUACUGGUACAUGUCAGUAUAGUAUGUACAUUACAAGAUAGCAAUCACAUUAACUCAGUUUUGUUUUAAAGGUGCUUUUUUAAAAUUACCCUCUGCAGAAUCUAAUUAAAUAUUUGACUCCUAGGGGACAGUAUGCUGAAAUGUUUAUGGAUGUAUGCUGCUGAUCUUUUAAACCCUGAUAUUUCAUUUUAGUCCUAUCUGCAGUUCUUCAAGAGGUUUUCCUUCUGGAGGUCUCUGUCACUAAUACUAAUAACAAUAAAGGGCUAUUCUAUUCUAUUCUAUUCUGAAGGUAUUUUUAAGCAGUUGCCUGCUUAAAUACAGGUUACAAACUGGUAUUGCCCAGUACAGUCCAUCCCUAGUUUAACUUCAGCAAAUUAAACACUGUAGAUAAACAUUUUAUAAAUAAAGUCAAAGUGGCUGUUAAUUCACAUUCUCCUAAUAGCAUUAGUUAACUAAUUAAUGAUCAUUAAUUAAUAAUGCUUAACUUAAAAAGCAUUUAAACUAGAGCCCGACUGAUAUAGGAUUUUUAAGGCAGUUAUUGAUAUUUGUUUAAAAGUGUUUUAAAAUUUCAAUAAAUCAGCCGACUGUUUUCUUUUUUCAGACAUAUGAAAUGUAAACAGAUUUUCCAAACAUUUGUCAUAUGUAGUUAAUUAUGAGUCCUUACUGAGAUAAUAUGACAGAUUACAAAUAAUCUGUUAUACAGUCACAAUAAGUCACAGAUUACAGAUUUACGCUCUGUCCGACUUUGCUCGGAUCAGCUGGUUGUUAACUUAUUAUUUGUGACAUUUCAAAGUUGUGAAGCAAACAGGAAAGUUGCAGGAUGCCCCCUGUUGGAUAAAUUAAGUGCCUUUAAAUCCUUGACAUAAACUCUUUAAAGGAAGCUGCAAGACUAUUCUAAAAUCUAUUCCAUUAUUUUAAAAGCCAAUUUUAGUCAAUCACAAAUUUAUUUUACUCCUAAUUCAUUUGUUUCUUCUUAGAACUGUAAAUAUAAUUGUAAUAAUCUAUAUCAAAUUUUGAGGAUAUUAUAGCUAUUUUUUAUGCAUUCAUCUUGGGUCUUCAUCCACUGUGUUACAUGCAAUCAGUUUCAGUCCUCUCUGUUUCAGCCUACAAACUGCCACAGCACCAUAUUUCCUCCCCUCACCGAGAGACACACACACACACACCAAGGUCUGCUGAAAUGAAAUAAACUGUGGUGUAUUUAACAGGCACAAAGCAAAUUAAACCUUUGAAUUGUUGUCAAAAUACAGCUUUUCAAAUCUUGCGAUGCCUCAGACAGGGGCUUCAUGGAAGAAGACUUCCCUGUUCUUCUUUCAACAGGAUUCUGAAACCAAUCACCACUCGCACCAAAAGCCUGCUCACAUUUUGGAAAUGGAAGUGGUAUUUGCAGUCAUUUAUGGAUGCAUCACUCAUGGUUUCCCCAGCAUCUCACGAACUUCUGUUUGCCAUCACUACUACAUCACCUCUGAGGAGAUAUGAGGAGAUAGCUAUUUAGCCUUAAGAUCGUGCCUUAAGGGGCAUCCAGACGUGUAGCAACUAGCAACGAUGUGGCAACCAGUCACCACAGAAAACCAGUAACAUUCAGCAAGACAUGAAGUGGGCGGGACCCACGUUAAACAUUUUGCAGCUUCAAGAUGAGACACUGAAGCAUCUGCCAAUGAGUGUGGAGGAUACCACACUCAGGUUACUACCUAAGUCUGGAAUGACCGCUGGCAACUUACUACCAGCGACAAAAAGAAUAUGUGACAUGCAGAUGAGUCCCUGUGUGUGGUGGGCCCCCUUUGUACUUUAUAAAGAAUAUAAAAAACAACAUUCAGGAUUUCCACUUUUGUUGACCUUGUCCCUAAACGCAGCACAGAAUUUACAGAUUGGAGUGGGUCUUGGCAACAAAAUGUUACCAGUAAUUUCUAUAGGAGGUGUGAAGCCAAGUUAUUCUGACUAAAACUCUUAUUAUUGGGCUUUGGAAGUGGAAAAUGUGGUUUAAGUUGUAUGAAUUAACAUAGUUAUUUCCACAAUAAGUGCAUUAUCUGGAGCUUCUCUACUUUUUUCUUUUUUGUAUAACGUCUGUCAAGUCAGGACUCUUCUGUUAUAUGUUUUCUUUUCUUUUAGCUUGUUUAUUCAUGUAUUACAAACGCACUCAGAAGAUUUAGUUACAGCAGCCGUUUUAUUACAUAGAUCUAAAUGAAAAAAAGAAUCACAUCUAUUCCAGAAUUGCUCCUGCAUUACAGAAGGCCUAUCUAAAAUUGCUCUUUAUGAAAGCAUUUAUUGUGGAAAUAUCUUAUACAAGCAAGUAAAUGUAGUCACUGAAAAAAUGUCUGAUUUUAGAAGACUGCUGGGAUUAGCAGCUCAAAAUCACAAGAAAUAAAGAAAUAAAUAGAUUAAGAUGCACAUCACCACUGUCAUAUUAAUCAACCUCCAUUGUUCUCAUAUUGCAACAUGUCACCAUGACACCUACAAGUGAAUACACCUUCUAUUGAUAAAAAUCCACACACGACAAAAGCUUGAUUGGAUUUUUUUGUUGUUGUUUUAACGUACACACCCCUCAUCUGCGGAUUCCAUAAUGUAACAAGGGUGGCUGUAGCUCAGGUGGCAGAGCAGGUCAGCCGCUAAUCAGAAGGUCGGUGGUUCGAUCCCAGGCUGCAUCCUGGCUGCAUGUCAAAUAUCCUUGGGCAAGAUACUAACCCCAUGUUUGCCUACUGGUGGUGGUCAGAGGGCCCGGUGGCGCCUGUGUCCGGCAGCCUUGCCUCUGUCAGUGCGCCCCAGGGCAGCUGUGGCUACAAUGUAGCUUGCCAUUGCCAGUGUGUGAAUGACUGAAUGUAGUGUAAAGCGCUUUGGGGUCCUAUGGACUAGAAAAGCGCUAUACAAAUGCAGACCAUUUAACAAGAAGCAGCAUGUGUACUGUGUAAUAUAGCUGAGUUUCUGAUGUUAUGGCACUUUUGUUACUCAUCCAAUCAUUAAAAAAAUGAACCGUGUAGCUGCGUAGCAUCCAGCAAAUCCAUCACAUGUCAAACACACUUCUCAAUCUGUGGAAUCAAUAUUUGAACCUAUCUGUGAAAAUACAGCAAAAACAUUCGGCUCACUGUGUGUGACCUUCAGUGCCACACAGCGUUUUCUUGGAGCAUAGAUAGAGUCUCAACAAAUGACAAGCACAUAAAUAGAAACCGGACAAAAGAAGCAGAUAUAAAAAACACAAAUAAAAAACAAACAUUAAAUAAAGUUUGACACAAAUGAAACAGACAAAGAUUAAGGCCAAAUAAAGCCAGUGUUUU
ensembl:lncRNA